UUGGAGUGUCACAACUCAAUGUCACAGCUCCCUGGCCUGAGGCUCCAGAGAGCCUGCGCAUUGUCCUUCAACUCCCAGAACUAAAUGUCUAUGGUUGCCUAGCCUGAACCUUUUCUGGAGAUAGAAACUAAUCUGGUGAUUCCAUAUAAGGACUUUUGGGUAAUACUCACAAGAUUCCAGGCAAGUGGUUUUAUGAGACCUUGAUCGUUGCUUUCUAUUUGUUGACACUCGAUGACUCUGCUUAUUUUAGGCUUUUCUUGCAGGAUUCUUUGUGAUUCUGAAGCCUCAGAUGUGUGCCACAAACAAGGACAGGAUGUACACUGAUCCUGUCCCUCGGUUCCCUUGAUAUAGGACCCGCUAAGGACAAUAGAGGAGACCAUGCCUUCGAACGACCAAGGCAAAUGAUGUCACCUGGGAACAACUUAAGAAGCUUGAUCAAAAUGCCACUGAAGUCAUGCACCAUGUUGGAGCAUCACCAACCCCAGAAAACAGGUUUUUAGCAUAUUUAUCUGUGGUUUCUCAAAACUUGGCUAAGGUAAUGUUUUUCUUAAUGUUUCUCUUUAUCCAGACCUCUAUUGCUUUUUCA